CUAUUUUUUAAAAAAAAAAACGUCGUUUCCUUAUUUUUCCUCUCAAAACUCUUUUCCUCUCUAGGCACGGGGCCGUUGUUCGUUUGCCACAGCCAUUGGUCAUCGGCAACGGCGACUGCCGUCUUCAGUGGCCGGAAAACCCAAAAGAGGUUCUUUUUGAGUCGUUUCUUUAAGAGAACGCGAUUUUGGGGUCCAAACAUGCAAAAGGGUCACCGUCCGGCCAAAACCCCAAGGGACCUUUCGGUUUCUCCUCCUCUUUGACAUGGUUUCAGGCGAAUCCCUAGCGAUUCGAUCACCUUUUAUACCAGCGAGGAUCACCAACUACAGUGGCUCAAGUAUCGACGCGGUCAACAGAGGGGAGAGAAGGGGCUCCCUUUGCCAUUUUGGUACAACGGCGGUGGACACGUUAGGCCUCAGGAUGAGGAGCCUCGGGCGGUACGUAUGCGAAGGGG